UGAUAAUUAACGUCUAUGAGCCCAUAGUAAAAACUUAACUAGAAAAUACUACUGACGAUAACGUUAACCUAACACAAGAGUAUUCCAAGAAAGAUUAAAAGAAAAAGAAGGAACUCGGCAAACAUUAAUCCCGCCUGUUUACCAAAAACAUCGCCUCUUGAAAAACAUAAGAGGUCUAGCCUGCCCAGUGACACUGUUUAACGGCCGCGGUAUCCUAACCGUGCGAAGGUAGCGUAAUCACUUGUCCUUUAAAUGAGGACUAGUAUGAAUGGCAUCACGAGGGUUAUACUGUCUCCUUUUUCUAAUCAGUGAAACUAAUCUCCCCGUGAAGAAGCGAGGAUACAUCUAUAAGACGAGAAGACCCUAUGGAGCUUUAAACGAAACAACAUUUGCUAUUUUAUUCACCAUUUCAGAAAAUUAACUUUUAUCUUAGCAUUAUGCCUGUUAGUUUUAGGUUGGGGUGACCGCGGAGAAAAAAGUAACCUCCACAUUGAAAGGGGCUCCCCCUAAGCAAAAAGCCACAACUUUAUGCAUCAACAAAUUGACAUCAAUUGACCCAAUAUUUUGAUCAACGAAACAAGUUACCCUAGGGAUAACAGCGCAAUCCACUUCGAGAGCCCAUAUCGACAAGUGGGUUUACGACCUCGAUGUUGGAUCAGGGUACCC
rnacentral:rRNA from 1 species